rnacentral:rRNA from 1 species
UACGUAGGGUGCAAGCGUUGUCCGGAAUUAUUGGGCGUAAAGAGCUCGUAGGCGGUUUGUUGCGUCGGCUGUGAAAUCCCGAGGCUCAACCUCGGGUCUGCAGUCGAUACGAGCAAACUAGAGUGUUGCAGGGGAGACUGGAAUUCCUGGUGUAGCGGUGAAAUGCGCAGAUAUCAGGAGGAACACCGGUGGCGAAGGCGGGGUCUCUGGGCCGACACUGACGCUGAGGAGCGAAAGCGUGGGGAGCGAACAGG